rnacentral:misc_RNA from 1 species
UAGACCAAAAUAAAAUCUUUAAAAACUUGAUUAAAUGCCGAAUGGGUACAUUCAAUAGUUCUCAAUGAAAAAUCCUCAAUGACUCAACGAUUUCUAGAUCACAUCUGGAGCGGAUACAAAUGCGGAUCGAUCAUGUUCUAGACCACAUUCCGGGGGCGGAUACAAUCACAAAUCAUUUAGGAACACAGCACACAGAAGAAAGAAACAAGCCGCUGAUCACUAGAUCCUCCUACAAGAAACCAAGGAAAAGUCUAAGCCCUGGAACAUGCUCUGGGACACGUCAUCAAGGUAUCUUUCUGUCAGCAAGGUAUUUUUGCCUUCACCAAGUGCACUCCAUGCCAGAGAUUCUUUAAAUAUCUCCAAGUGAAUAUCAAGCGAAAGCCAAGCGAUUCGAAAGCACUCGGAGACUGACCUCUAGCAAAUGGCACCAAGCAUUAGCCACAUGUUUCGUUUUCAAGAUCGUGCUUCGUUCUAGAAGACCUGACCAGAUGAUAGAUGUAUAUCGUAUAAUAAAUACUUGGGGAUACACUUGCAGCACAGCUGGCAGCGGUUGUCUGUCUGCAAUCUGUGUCUGGGAAUUAAAAAAAAAAAACACCAGAGAGAGAGAGCUGGUGAAGGGCAAUCGCCGGACUCCGAACUCCCCGACAAUUGUAUGCAAAUGAACGCGUGCCGUGCCUUCACUUGUCUCUAAAAAGUUUCUUCGCCUUUUCAUCGUACAAUAUGCAAUAGAAUUCUUUAUUGUAAUUUAUUUUUUGUUGUUGUGUGUUUGCUGUGUGUAUUUUUUGUUUAUACAUAUAAAUUUAUGUACUCGCAUUUUACUGUGCCACACAAUGCAUCACGUACGGCAUAUAAUAUAUAAUAUAUAUAUAUAUAUAUAUAUAUAAUGUAUGUAUAUA